AAUGGAGUGUCUGAAUAAAGAAUUAUCUUGAUAGGAUAAAGCAUGUGUUUYUACACCUCCAUUA
rnacentral:tRNA from 1 species